AAGUCAUAACAAGGUUUCCGUAGGUGAACCUGCGGAAGGAUCAUUAAUAAUGCCCUCUGACUUCGGUCAGCUGGGUUCAAAUGAGUGCCUUCUCUUCGGAGUUGGCCAUCCUCACACACCGUGAACUGUGGCUUCGGCCAUCACAAACUGUUAGUAAUGAAUGUAAUAUCAUAACAAAAACAAAACUUUUAACAACGGAUCUCUUGGCUCUC
rnacentral:misc_RNA from 1 species